AGAUUGAACGCUGGCGGCAUGCCUUACACAUGCAAGUCGAACGGCAGCACGGGAGCAAUCCUGGUGGCGAGUGGCGAACGGGUGAGUAAUACAUCGGAACGUGCCCAAUAGUGGGGGGAUAACCCGGCGAAAGCCGGACUAAUACCGCAUACGACCUACGGGUGAAAGCGGGGGAUCGCAAGACCUCGCGCUAUCGGAGCGGCCGAUGUCAGAUUAGCUUGUUGGUGGGGUAAAAGCCUACCAAGGCAACGAUCUGUAGCUGGUCUGAGAGGACGACCAGCCACACUGGGACUGAGACACGGCCCAGACUCCUACGGGAGGCAGCAGUGGGAAUUUGGACAAUGGGCGCAAGCCUGAUCCAGCCAUGCCGCGUGCGGGAAGAAGGCCUUCGGGUGUAACCGCUUUGUCAGGAAGAACGCUCGUGGCUAACGUACCCGAGUAAUGACGUACCGUGAAGAA
rnacentral:rRNA from 1 species